rnacentral:rRNA from 1 species
ACGUAGGGGGCGAGCGUUGUCCGGAAUCACUGGGCGUAAAGCGCGCGCGGGUGGUUUCGUAGGUCGGCCGUGAAAGACAUGGGCUCAACCCGUGCAGGUCGGUCGAUACCGCGGGACUGGAGUAUGGGAGAGGAAAGCGGAAUUCCCGGUGUAGCGGUGAAAUGCGUAGAUAUCGGGAGGAACGCCAGUGGCGAAGGCGGCUUUCUGGCCCAUCACUGACACUGAGGCGCGAAAGCCGGGGGAGCGAACGG